AUUGAACGCUGGCGGCAUGCCUUACACAUGCAAGUCGAACGGUAACGCGGGGCAACCUGGCGACGAGUGGCGAACGGGUGAGUAAUGUGUCGGAACGUGCCCAGUAGUGGGGGAUAGCCCGGCGAAAGCCGGAUUAAUACCGCAUACGACCUAAGGGUGAAAGCGGGGGAUCGCAAGACAUCGCGCUAUUGGAGCGUCCGAUAUCAGAUUAGCUAGUUGGUGGAGUAAAGGCCUACCAAGGCGACGAGCUGUAGCUGGUCUGAGAGGACGACCAGCCACACUGGGACUGAGACACGGCCCAGACUCCUACGGGAGGCAGCAGUGGGGAAUUUUGGACAAUGGGCGAAAGCCUGAUCCAGCCAUGCCGCGUGCGGGAAGAAGGCCUUCGGGUUGUAACCCGCUUUUGUCAGGGAAGAAAAGGCUCGAACUAAUACUUUGGGCUCAUGACGGUACCUGAAGAAUAAGCACCGGCUAACUACGUGCCAGCCGCCGCCGUAAAAC
rnacentral:rRNA from 1 species